rnacentral:lncRNA from 13 species
AUGCAUGGGGAACAGCCAGCGAGGAGAAUGAGCUCGAUCAUCCGUGCAGAUCCCGAGGGGGGUUGGUGGCGAGGAGGAGCUCGUGGUAAGACUUCCGCCCCACAGCUAAUCCAAGAUAGAGGUACUAUCAUGGACACCAGCCGCAACAGCUUGCUUACAAACAUACAUAUCAUAGCAGCUCAUAACAGAAUUUACAACGGAUUUCAUAGACACUGUACAGUAUGUAGUCAAAAGAGGUCUUUACCAAUCUUUACAGAAUGUAUUAUGACUCAUGAAAGAACAUAUGCUUCAAGGAGGCUACUUGUUUACAUUUCAUUUCAUUACUACAUCCGGAUGGUUAUACUGCAUAGGCACUCCCUCUCUCCCUUUAUAAAAACAUCACGAUACAGUAGUUCUUUGACUCAACAGGGAGCAGAGUUUAUUGAAAAAGAGAAGGGGAGCUUUUAGGGGGGAAAUUCAGAAGUGAUUGAGACGGGGUGUGAACACAGAGGCACCCUGAUGAGGAGGAGAGACGGAGAGCAGUUAUAGCCUCAAUCCAGUCAGAUAAUGAAUCAACACUGAUUGUGGCCUAAGUCUCAGGCUGAAACAGAAUUGGGGGAAAUGUUGUAUAGCAAAAAAGCAAACAAACCACAAACUUAGCGCUGUUUGUCAAUUUCUGUUUCAGUCGGCUUUCAAAAUAAAUGCAGUGGGCGCUGAGGGACCAUUAAAAACUGCACAGAGAGAACCACUUUGUUGAGAAACCCAAGCACAUUAACCGUGUGAAUGGAGAGAGAGAAGCACUUUUAACUCCUAAACUUUAAAAAGUGAUUUAACAUUAGCUCAUCUGAUUGAGCUCAGCUUCUUGCCCUUCUGGCCAGCGGAGGUCCAUGGACUGGGCUUAAUCUUCCAUGUUCAGUGUGGAAGAAUAGGUUUGGCUUUAAGUGCUUGAGGGGUAAAGAUUAAAUGUGCUAGUUAUCCAAUCAGCAGAGCUUCCUCUCCUCUCCUGGCCCUUCAAUAGUAAAUUCACAUCUCACUGAGCACAGACGUCAAUUCAACAUCUAUUCCAUGUUGGUUCAACGUCAUUUCAUUGA